AAAAUCCAAUAAAAAGGGGCGUUUAACCAGAGAAACCAAUGCUCUGCAGUAUCCAAAGGCACCAUCCAGGAGAGUGACAGGGAGCCCCAGCUCUGCCCCGACCCAGCGUCAUGGAGGAGGCUCGGAGUGGUGUGGUGGAAGCUCCACUCCAUCACUACGCCGACAGCAUCGCCUUGGCAAAGCCAGGCCGGAGCGGGCAGCCGGGUGUGCCAGCAAACGCCGCUUAAUGUAAUUCUGAAGGGAAAGCAGGAGCCAGACACUGAUUAACGGCUGCGAGGAUCAGAAGCAGGGCAGCGCGGAAGCAGGGAGCUGGAUGCUCUCCGAGCCAGCCUUCCUUCCAAAAUCUGCACCCAAUUCAUCCGUCCCCCAGUACGUGUGAGGAUACGGCGCGAGUCACCAGUGUCCGCCGUGUAAACACAGAAUUAUGCUGCUGGAGCAGGAACUUCCCAAACCAGCCCUGGGUUUGCUGGAACUUCCCAAACCAGCCCUGGGUUUGCUGGAACUUCCCAAACCAGCCCUGGCUUUCCUCCCACAAACUCUCCCGAAUAGAUCCUCGCCACAAAACGCGGCUCCAUCUCUAAAUCGGAGCAGGAUGCGGAGCCGGCGGGUUGGCGCACCGAAUAAGAGGGAUGCGGGGAUGGAAACGACUUCUCCCGCCGGGCAGAAGCCGGGAGCCGCGAUAGGGCAGCAUUUGCUGCGGGAGGGGGGCACAAACUCGCGUGGGUUCCCGGGGAUGCCGGUCUGCCCCACGCCGCCCCGGCUCCUGGGAAGCAGCUGCCGGGAACGGGGAGGGGAGCGCUGGCGAAGCCCCGACCCCGGGAGAUGGGUGCGCAUCCCGCUCCUGCCCUGCCUCUGCCGCACCAACCGCUGCACGGGCGGCGGCUCCGGUGGCCCCGGCUGUGCCCCGCUCCGCUAGUCCCGAGGCGACCGGGAGAGUCGGUCAGGGGGCUCGGGCAACGGGGAGCAUCCUCGUCCCCCGCCCACCGGCAGCUUCCCCGACACCGGGAGCAUCCCCAAGGCACCGGGAGCAUUCCCAGGACACCGCGAGCAUCGCCGGUUUCUGCGCACCGGGCGCACCCCCCGGGCACAGGUAGCCCCCACGACUCCUGCGCACCGGGAGCAUCCCCGACUCCUACACAGCGGGCUCGUCUCCCGGGCACCGGGAACCUCCACAACUCCUGCUCACCGAGAGCAACCCCCGGGCACAGGGAGGCUCCCCAGCCCAUCUUCCCCGGGAGCCUCCCUGCGUACCGGGAGCCUCUCCGAUUCCCGAGCACCGUGAGUAUACCCUGGGCACCAUGAUCUUCCCCGAUUCCCGAGCACCGGGAGCCUCCCAGACUCUUGGAAACCGAGCGCAUCCCCCGGCCACCGAGCGCAUCCCAUCUUCCCCGGGAGCCUCGAGCCUGCCCGAUUCCUGAGCACCGUGAGCCUUCCCGACUCUUGGGAACCGCGCGCAUCCCUCGAGCGCCGGGAGCACCCCCAGCCCACCUUCCCCGGUAUCCCCGCGAGCUUCCCGCUCCCCACGCCGAGGCUCAGACGGCACUUACCGUCCUGAGGAGUGGCGGAGGAGUGAGGGCAGGAGGAGCCUCUCGCGGGUCAGCGUCAUGACCCCACCAGCGCAGCCCCAUCGGUGCGGAAGCACGAGCAGCAGAGGAAAAUCCACCCCCGCACCCAGCUGCGUGCCUGCCCCGCGGCUCCCCCAGCUUUGCAUAGGCAGCACCGACUGGCGCAUGCAAAUGCAGGCGGUGCAUGUGCAUUUGGACAUGCGGUGCCCGCACAGUCGUCGAGGCAUUGCAGAGCACGAGGCAUCACUAAGGAAGUCCAACAGUGCUCCCAAAGCAGAGCCCUGGGUUUCUAGGGUGCCGGCACAGGGCUCCUUUGGGCUCUGCUGCUGCAUCUGCCCACUCACCAGGAGAGCAGGGACUUGACCACGGGAGCGACCACGCUCUUGGCCAGAUGGGCUGUCCCACACAUCCACCCAGAUGCAGUGCAAGCCCUUAAACACAUUGCAAACCCAUCCCCAUGGACCUGCCCACACCCUGCCCACAGGCACCUUGCGAGGACCUGCCGGGAAAAGCCACAACCUCUCCCACUCCUGGUUAAUUUGGAGUGUAGCCAUUAAAUACCUGGCAGCAGCCACGGGGUUGGACUGAGGCUGAGCCAGGCAGCCGUGAGCCCACGGGGUCUUUGCAGCGAAGGCAGAAGGAGCCAAGCACAGCCACCCUGCCAGGGCCACCGCGCAGGCAAGAGCCGCCUGUCCUCCAGAUGGAGAGAUGGUCGGGCAGUGGCACUCCAGCAUGAACGGGACAGCGUGGGCAGGAGGGAGCCACACCGUGUUCCCCCCAGCAGCGUCUGGGUGGCGGGGUCUGCUUCGUUUCUAUUCCGCACACGCAGCCUGUAAUUUUGGUCUAUUGAAGUCAUAAUUCACUACUGUGAAAAUAAACAUUUGUGUUAGCUCACUUUAUUUGGCGGGCCUCGUCUGAAUGUUAAUAAUUCCCUGCUGGUGUGCUUGCACAUGGUCUUGGUGCCCGGAACAAAACCUGGGCACCCGUGGCCGUGGCUGUGCCCGUGGCUAUGCCCGUGCCCACAGCUGCCUCCUUGCAUGCUUGGGGUAGGAUCUCGCCAUUCUUCCCAUGCUGACCCCAGGGAUCCCGGGAUCACAACGGAGAAGAGAUGGGACAGUAGUGCCACUUCGAGCUAAGACAGGGGGAGGGGGGAAUAACAAGGGAGCUGCCUCCCACAAGAUAAAGGUAAUAUAGAAGUGAUAAUUUGAGUAGAGCAGAUUGAGUCCAGCUCUGGACCCUUCCUUGCCCACACCUGUCCCUGGUUAUGAUUGCUUGCGCUGUUUUGUGGGUGCUCCCACCUGCAGCGGGGAUGCCCCAACACCCGC